rnacentral:rRNA from 1 species
GACGAACGCUGGCGGCGUGCUUAACACAUGCCAGUCGAACGGAAAGGCCCUGCUUUUGUGGGGUGCUCGAGUGGCGAACGGGUGAGUAACACGUGAGUAACCUGCCCUUGACUUUGGGAUAACUUCAGGAAACUGGGGCUAAUACCGGAUAGGAGCUCCUGCUGCAUGGUGGGGGUUGGAAAGUUUCGGCGGUUGGGGAUGGACUCGCGGCUUAUCAGCUUGUUGGUGGGGUAGUGGCUUACCAAGGCUUUGACGGGUAGCCGGCCUGAGAGGGUGACCGGCCACAUUGGGACUGAGAUACGGCCCAGACUCCUACGGGAGGCAGCAGUGGGGAAUAUUGCACAAUGGGCGGAGCCUGAUGCAGCAACGCCGCGUGCGGGAUGACGGCCUUCGGGUUGUAAACCGCUUUCGCCUGUGACGAAGCGUGAGUGACGGUAAUGGGUAAAGAAGCACCGGCUAACUACGUG